GACGAACGCUGGCGGCGUGCUUAACACAUGCAAGUCGAACGCUGAAGCCCUUCGGGGUGGAUGAGUGGCGAACGGGUGAGUAACACGUGGUAAUCUGCCCUGCACUCUGGGAUAAGCCUUGGAAACGGGGUCUAAUACCGGAUGGGACACAUCGCCGCAUGGUGUGUGUGUGGAAAGUUCCGGCGGUGCAGGUUGAGCCCGCGGCCUAUAAGCUUGUUGGUGGGGUGAUGGCCUACCAAGGCGACGGCGGGUAGCCGGCCUGAGAGGGUGACCGGCCACACUGGGACUGAGACACGGCCCAGACUCCUACGGGAGGCAGCAGUGGGGAAUCUUGCGCAAUGGGCGAAAGCCUGACGCAGCAACGCCGCGUGGGGGAUGACGGCCUUCGGGUUGUAAACCUCUUUCGACCGGGACGAAGGAUUCGUUUGACGGUACCGGUAGAAGAAGCACCGGCUAACUACGUGCCAGCCGCCGCAGUAA
rnacentral:rRNA from 1 species